GCGGGGAUAGCUCAGUUGGGAGAGCGUCAGACUGAAGAUCUGAAGGCGGCCGCGUGUUUGAUCCACGCUCACCGCA
rfam:Ipomoea nil DNA, scaffold: scaffold2338, cultivar: Tokyo-kokei standard.